UACGAAGGGGGCUAGCGUUGCUCGGAAUCACUGGGCGUAAAGCGCACGUAGGCGGAUCUUUAAGUCAGGGGUGAAAUCCUGGAGCUCAACUCCAGAACUGCCCUUGAUACUGGGGAUCUUGGGUCCGGAAGAGGUGAGUGGAACUCCGAGUGUAGAGGUGAAAUUCGUAGAUAUUCGGAAGAACACCAGUGGCGAAGGCGGCUCACUGGUCCGGCACUGACGCUGAGGUGCGAAAGCGUGGGGAGCAAACAGG
rnacentral:rRNA from 1 species